rnacentral:rRNA from 1 species
UGGGGAAUAUUGCACAAUGGGCGCAAGCCUGAUGCAGCAACGCCGCGUGAGGGAUGACGGCCUUCGGGUUGUAAACCUCUUUUAGCAGGGAAGAAGCGAAAGUGACGGUACCUGCAGAAAAAGCACCGGCUAACUACGUGCCAGCAGCCGCGGUAAUACGUAGGGUGCAAGCGUUGUCCGGAAUUAUUGGGCGUAAAGAGCUCGUAGGCGGUCUGUCGCGUCUGCUGUGAAAUCCCGAGGCUCAACCUCGGGCCUGCAGUGGGUACGGGCAGACUAGAGUGCGGUAGGGGAGAAUGGAACUCCUGGUGUAGCGGUGGAAUGCGCAGAUAUCAGGAAGAACACCGAUGGCGAAGGCAGUUCUCUGGGCCGUAACUGACGCUGAGGAGCGAAAGCGUGGGGAGCGAACAGGAUUAGAUACCCUGGUAGUCCACGCCGUAAACGUUGGGCGCUAGAUGUGGGGCACCAUUCCACGGUUUCCGUGUCGCAGCUAACGCAUUAAGCGCCCCGCCUGGGGCAGUACGGCCGCAAGGCUAAAA